rnacentral:lncRNA from 1 species
ACGAAACACACUAUCAUGUCAACAAUCUGCAUAUCUAGCUUUAGCUAGCUAACGUUAGCUGGUUGAAAUAAAGGGAUUGGGCAUCUUAUGAGGUUUAUGCAAUUUAGCUACAUGAUGCUGUUGUUAGAUUCCUUUGAGUACAAAACAGUCUGAAUGCAGAAGAUGUUAGCUAGCGAAGUAGCCUUGUUAGCUAGCUUGAACACUGAACACACUAAGGUUAGCAGCUAACUUAGCUAGCAGGCUAAAAAUGCAACCCAAAACAUACCUAGUUAGGCUGGACACAUGACAUUUUAACAAUGCUUUUUUUAAUUAAAAAGAUGUUCAUUGCAUCCGCAGUGGAGCCCAGUUUCAUAAUAUUACCAAUAUAUCCCAGCUGCCUGUCGUAGUUUUGAAGUAAUCACAAAAAAACAGGCCUUAUUUUAGGCCAUUUUUCACCCUGCCAGCUCCUAUUAGUUCUACUGACCACUGUGGCGCCAACUCGCCUUCCGAACGUUCUAAUCCCAUUUUGUUGUACUAUGUCACAAUGGCAGCUUCGCUAUAGUUGGCAAUGGAGACCUGCUCACGUUGUUUAUAGUUAAAAUGUAAACAACAAAAAAUUACUCAUGGAAAUCUGAGGUAAUCCAUUGUUUACUAUAGGGAAAUAUAGGAAAUGUCUGGAAAGGGACAGGCCCAACAAGAGCAAAAGAAACCAUGCCGCUACACUCCCGAACAGCUACAGGCUGCUGUCAAGGAGGUGAAGGCAGGGAGGAGCCUGAGGGAGGUGGCUCGUGAGUUUGGUAUACUUCACACCACUAUCCAGGACAAAGAAAAAAGAUGCCAAUGCCCCUCACCCAAACCUUGCAAUCACCCCAGAUGAGGAGGCCCAGCUGCUAUCCUAUAUCCUGUGAGCGGGCGCCCUCCUCCUCGCACGCCGAAAGACUGAAAAAGUGUGUGCGAGCAAGGAGGCCUAGAAACCUGAUUCAGUUACACCAGCUCUGUCAGGAGGAAAGGGCCAAAAUUCACCCAACUUAUUGUGGGAAGCUUGUGGAAGGCUACCCGAAACGUUUGACCCAAGUUAAACAAUUUAAAGGCAAUGCUACCAAAUACUAAUUGAGUGUAUGUCAACUUCUG